UUUUUUGAAAUUUCUCGAUGA
rnacentral:piRNA from 1 species